UACGAAGGGGGCUAGCGUUGCUCGGAAUCACUGGGCGUAAAGGGUGCGUAGGCGGGUCUUUAAGUCAGGGGUGAAAUUCUGGAGCUCAACUCCAGAACUGCCUUUGAUACUGAGGAUCUUGAGUUCGGGAGAGGUGAGUGGAACUGCGAGUGUAGAGGUGAAAUUCGUAGAUAUUCGCAAGAACACCAGUGGCGAAGGCGGCUCACUGGCCCGAUACUGACGCUGAGGCACGAAAGCGUGGGGAGCAAACAGG
rnacentral:rRNA from 1 species